AACUACCCGUCAGUCGCAAGGUAGGUUAUAAAUACAUUAGCUGCACAAAGCCGAGUGUAACGCUCAAGGAAAGAAGAGGCUUGAGUCACGGGAUAUUACCUCAGUCAUAUUACCGGGAAGCUACUGACCUGAACUGAAACUGUCGAUGUUGAAGUGAAACUUUGCUGAGGUGCCCAAAGACAUGUCAUGGCCAUGAGGAUGUGGAUUUAUGGAACAGUUGUGUUUUAUGCUAUAUAUUUUUGG